rnacentral:misc_RNA from 1 species
GAUGAAGAACGUAGCGAAAUGCGAUAAGUAGUGUGAAUUGCAGAAUUCAGUGAAUCAUCGAAUCUUUGAACGCACAUUGCGCCCUUUGGUAUUCCAAAGGGCAUGCCUGUUCGAGCGUCAUUUGUACCCUCAAGCUUUGCUUGGUGUUGGGCGUCUUGUCUCUAGCUUUGCUGGAGACUCGCCUUAAAGUAAUUGGCAGCCGGCCUACUGGUUUCGGAGCGCAGCACAAGUCGCACUCUCUAUCAGUAAAGGUCUAGCAUCCAUUAAGCCUUUUUUUCAACUUUUGACCUCGGAUCAGGUAGGGAUACCCGCUGAACUUAAGCAUAUCAAUAAGCGGAGGA